rnacentral:rRNA from 1 species
UAUCUCUGUAGAGUCUGCAUAUCAAUAAGCGGAGGAAAAGAAACUAACUAGGAUUCCCUUAGUAACGGCGAGUGAAGCGGGAAGAGCUCAAAUUUGAAAUCUUCAAGGUUUACCUUGACGAAUUGUAGUUUAAAGAAGUGUUUUCUGUUGGAGUUUUCGGUAAAAGUUCUUUGGAAUAGGACAUCAUAGAGGGUGAGAAUCCCGUAUUUGACCAUUUAUUUCAGCUGUGUGAUACACUUUCAAAGAGUCGGAUUGUUUGGGAAUGCAGUCCAAAAUGGGUGGUAAAUUUCAUCUAAAGCUAAAUAUUGGCGAGAGACCGAUAGCGAACAAGUACCGUGAGGGAAAGAUGAAAAGAACUUUGAAAAGAGAGUUAAACAGUACGUGAAAUUGUCAAAAGGGAAGCGUUUGACACCAGUGUUGUUUUCUCGAAAAUCAAUUAAAAAUGGCGUGAUUUUGUGUUGUAUUGACCUUAUAAGCUUUCUGCACUUUUUUCAUGUCUUUUUUAAUGCACUUUUCGUUUAACAAGUCAACAUCAAUUUCCUUUGUUGUAAAAGGGUCAUUGGAAGGUGGCUUUCUUUUCGGAGAAAGUGUUUAUAGCCUUUGACUCCUGCAAUCGGAGAGACUGAGGUCUGCAGCGUAGAUCCUUCGUGGAUUAAAUUCAGUUUGUGCUAAGUUAUAGCUUUUCAUAGACAACUUGUUGACUAUAGUUUAGUCUUGUAGCUUACUCGCUGAUGCUAUUUUACCUACGCUUAGGAUGUUGAACGCGCACAGAGUCU